rnacentral:lncRNA from 1 species
UUUUAAAUGUUUUUCUUAUAUAUAUUAUCAUGGUCAUUACUUUAGUAGAUUGAAGGUCAUGGUGGAGUGGUUGAGGCUCACGCCUUCCAACCACCAUGACCUGGGUUCAACCCUUGUUGGCCACACUUUCACCAUUAUUUUUGUUUUUGUUUUAUUUUUUCCUAUUUUUUUUUUGUUUCUUUUGCAUUUUUUUAUUCAAUUUAAAUUUUU